GAUGAACGCUGGCGGCGUGCCUAAUACAUGCAAGUCGAGCGAACGGACGAGAAGCUUGCUUCUCUGAUGUUAGCGGCGGACGGGUGAGUAACACGUGGAUAACCUACCUAUAAGACUGGGAUAACUUCGGGAAACCGUAGCUAAUACCGGAUAAUAUUUUGAACCGCAUGGUUCAAAAGUGAAAGACGGUCUUGCUGUCACUUAUAGAUGGAUCCGCGCUGCAUUAGCUAGUUGGUAAGGUAACGGCUUACCAAGGCAACGAUGCAUAGCCGACCUGAGAGGGUGAUCGGCCACACUGGAACUGAGACACGGUCCAGACUCCUACGGGAGGCAGCAGUAGGGAAUCUUCCGCAAUGGGCGAAAGCCUGACGGAGCAACGCCGCGUGAGUGAUGAAGGUCUUCGGAUCGUAAAACUCUGUUAUGAGGGAAGAACAGAUGUGGAAGUAACUGUGCACAUCUUGACGGUACCUAAUCAGAAAGCCACGGCUAACUACGUG
rnacentral:rRNA from 1 species